GCAAAGAUGGCCUUUGAGCAGGCAGGGGAUGUCUCGUGUGGAGCAGGGGUGGCGGAGAUGGGAGGUGCCAAAAAUGUGUUUUGGAAACACGUGGGAGUGGGCAGGUGUGGUGCGAUGGCAAGAGAGGCGUGGGGUGCGGGACACCCUGCAGAUUGAGGGAAGCUCCGAGUUGUCAUCAGCUGGUGGAGAGGCCUUUCAUGGCUGCCAAGGGCCUCUCGAACUGAGGGACCACUUCCAAGAGCCAAGAAUGAGUCCUGCGCGUAUUCUUAGGCAAUGAGCCUCCCAAUGGGCCAGUCCCCCGCCCACACUUAGGAGAGAAACGAAUGAUUCUACCAGUUCCUCACGGAGAAGUGCCAGGAGGGCUGAGCAAGGUUUCCGGGUGUCCUCCAGCAGUGGACAGUGGGCCUGGGAACAGGCUGGUGUGCCGGUGGCGGCACGUGUCCAGGCCUGUUGGCGAGACUUUUGUCACUGUGGAGAAAACGCAAACACAGUAGUGGGAUGAGCAGAGCACUUGGGCUUAGAGACCUGCACGGGCUGUGUGAUCACAGACCGUCUCUUCUUCCAGCCUCCAUUGCAUGAGCUGCUUUUGAAGAGUCCUUCCAAGUCUGUCCAGCCCCGGCCCAGGUCCCACUGCCCAGUCUGCUGGGGCUUGGGGUGUUCGGUCCACAACUUGACAACCUGCUGACUGGUGGGAUGCAGAGAUGGGGAGAGUUUCUCAGAGGCCUCUUUGCACACUCUCCGUCUUCGGGUAAGGAUGACUGUUGUUCCCGUAGCCUGCCAGGGGGUUCGGUGGGGCUGUCGCUCUAAUUCUAGACAGAAUAGGAGCUGUACCUGACCACAGGGAAACAGCCAACGGAGACUCCGAGGCCAGCAAGGCCGUUGGCUGCACUUAAAUUGCCAGCAUUCUUUUUUGCUCUGAGAACAAAGCUUUAAGGCACGUGACUUAGACCCAAACACAAAUAAUGAGGCAUCCCGUUAGUCCAUGGGAGGAAAAUGGUGUGACCAGCAAGUCCCUGGGUGGUGGUGAGGUCUGGUUUUGGGAGAGCUGCCCCAUGACUACCUAAAUCAGCCUCUAAAUUUAUAGUUGUUCAGUCACUAAGUCGUGUCCAACUCUCUGUGACCCCACGGACUGCAGCCCACCAGGCUCCUCUCUCCUUCACUGUCUCAGAGUUUGCUCAGAUUCACGUCCACUGAGUCAGUGAUGCUAUCGAACCAUCUCAUCCUCUGCCGCCCCCGUCUCCUUUUGCCUUCAGCCUUUCCCAGCAUCAGAGUCUCUUCCAAUGAGUCAGCUCUUCGCAUCAGAUGGCCAAAGUAUUGGAACUUCAGCUUCAGCAUCAGUCCUUCCGAUGAAUACAGGGUUGAUUUCUUGUUUAUAGUACCAGCAGCAAUAGCUUGAUAACCUGGUAUGCUUCCAGCUCCUCUUGACCCAACAGGAAGGUCUCCUUCCAAUGAAUACAGGGUUGAUUUCUUGUUUAUAGUACCAGCAGCAAUAGCUUGAUAACCUGGUAUGCUUCCAGCUCCUCUUGACCCAACAGGAAGAUCAGCAAAAGUUGAGCUCCUGAAGCCAGACCAAGUGUCCAGAGUCCUCAAGACCUUUUGGGUGCUGCAAGGGAGCAGAGUUGUCAUCUGCAUGUUGCAAUUGAACCGCUUUCUCCAGAACACUUGGGGCUAAGCUUGCCCCUUCUGAGGCAGGAAUUGGGAUUUCACUUCAUUUCCUGGAGAUUUCACCCUAAGCUGUGGUUGCCUUGUGAGUGGAAAAGACAAGGAUGCAUUGUCCAGUGGAUAAUGCCAGAAGUGAGGAUUGUAUUAAUACAAAAUGGGUUCUUGAGCUCUCCAUGCCAAGUGGGAGACUCCACUGUGUCCAUAAACUCGUAUUGAUCUGACUUGGAUGGAGCACUGUGUGUCCCUGUGGGUCCCAAAGUAUACGUACCUCUGUGGAAGAUGAGAUUUUGCUUUUUGGAUGGAGGGUAACUGCUACUAUUAACUGCCACCCGAGGUCCAUCUAGUCAAAGCUCUGGUUUUUCCAGUAGUCAUGUAUGGAUGUGAGAGUUGGACCAUGAAGAAAGCUGCUGCUGCUAAGUCACUUCAGUCAUGUCCAACUCUGUGCAACCCCAUAGACGACAGCCCACCAGGCUGCUCUGUCCCUGGGAUUCUCCAGGUAAGAGUACUAGAGUGGGUUGCCAUUGCCUUCUCCCUAGAAAGCUGAGUGCCAAAGAAUUGAUACUUUUUGAACUAUUGUGUUGGAGAAGACUCUUGAGAGUCCCUUGGACUGCAAGGAGAUCAAACCAGUCAAUCCUGAAGGAAAUCAAUCCUGAAUAUUCAUUUAUAGGACCAAUGCUGAAGCUGAAGCUCCAAUACUUUGGCUACCUGAUGCGAAUAACUGACUCCUUGGAAAAGACCCUGAUGCUGGGAAAGAUUGAAGGCAGGAGGCGAAGGGGACGACAGAGGAUGAGAUGGCUGGAUGGCAUCACUGACUCAAUGGGCGUGAGUCUGAGUGAACUCCGGGAGUUGGUAAUGGACAGGGAGGACUGGCAUGCUGCAGUCCAUGGCGUCGCAAAGAGUCAGACAUGACUGAGCAACUGAACUGAACCGAGGCCUCUCUGAGUGGGAGUUUGAUGUAUGACACAGGGAACCCAGAGAUGGUGCUCUGUGACAACCUGGAGGAAUGGACGGGGAGGGAGGUGAGAAGGGGGUUCAUUAUUCAAAGAUUCUGUUUGUGAAUUUAAAUUUUGAGUCUCUCAGUGUGUCUGUUCCCAGGCAAGGGUGAACAAGUGACUUCUUGUUUCAGCUCUUAUGCUGUGAAUAAGUGUCUUCCUCAGUCAAUUUAGUGUUGUGAUUCUUGCGUUUACCUGCUUUUUGUUGGUGCUUUUGCUGUGUCAAAUGUCCCCUCCAUCCACCAUUAAUGCAGAAAUGCUGUCUAGUGUCCCUAAGCACAAAAAGGCUGGGAUGUGCCUUAUGGAAAAAAAUGUAUGUGUUAGGGUGGCUUUGCUCAGGCCCAAAUUAUGGUGCUGUUGGCUUUGUCCAAUAUUUUUAACUUUUAUUGGCAUAUAGUUGACUUACAAUGUUGUAUUAGUUUCAGGUAUACAACAAAGUGAGUCAGUCAUACGUAUCUGUAUAUCCACUUUUUUAGGGGGGAAUUCUUUUCCUAUAUGUGGAUCAACAACAUAUAUUAAGUAAGAUGUCAUUAAGGGACUUCCUUGUAGCUCAGACAGUAAAGAAUGUACCUGCAAUUCAGGAGACCAAGGUUUGAUCCCUGGGUCAGGAAGGUCCUCUGGAGAAGGGCAUGGCAACCCACUCCAGUAUUCUUGCCUGGAGAAUCCCAUGGACAGAGGAGCCUGGCAGGCUACAGUAAGUGGGGUCGCAAUACAAUUGAAUGAUGAACACUACUCCUACGAAGAUGCCAGUAAAAAGAAACACACAUAAAGCAAGGUUAUUUAUUGGGUGGGUGACACAGCUGUUGUGACCAAAGGCUCACAGGAGCCUAGCCCUGCAUUUGCCCUAGGAACAGAGGUUUCCAAGUCUCUAAAUCAGCAUGGAUGAUGAGAAUGGACUGUAUUUGAUGCGGGUUUGUGCUUUUUCUGAGCACCUCUUCGGUCGUCCAGUAAUUCUCCAACUUUUAUCUGCACUGAAGAUUUUUAUUCCCACCCUUGUCCUUAUUCUGUGUGUCUGGCUCGUCUUUCACUGUCCUUCCUUCCCUUCUCAUUACACUUGCAUUCUCCUUCACCAGCUCCCAUCCGCUAGAGCGCCGCACAUCUAAGUGUGCCAGGGACCUGCUCUUUGAAAGGAACACUUAGAAAAGAACCUUGGCAGAAGGGUUUGGCAAUGUGGCCAGCAAGAGCCUGGACACUGUCCAUUUGUGUCUCAGCCUUAGAAGCAGGCAAUUUGGUGGGUUUAGUUAAGGCCAUGAAAAGGGAUAAUUAGAUCGGCAGUAGAGCAGCCCCUGCCCCCUUCCUUGGGCUCUAUGAUAUCUCAAGGGUUUUCAUCACAUGCUCCGAAUCAAAUACGUUUUAAUUACCUUUAAAACAAUUGCAAAAAUUUGUUCACAAAGCAAGAGCACAAGUUUUAAAGGUGCUGAUUUUGUAAAGUAGGCAAUUAUAGCCAGUGUUGUGAAAGCUUGUUCCUCUUCUGUUUAUUUCUUUAUUAAAAAAAAAAUAUAUAUAUAUAUAUAUAUUUAUUUAUGGCUGCACUGGGUCUUUGUGGCUGUGUACAGGUUUGCUCUACUUGUGGCAAGCAGGGAGCUUGCCUUAUCCCUUAUCCCCCCCAGUACCUCCUCUCUAGCUGUGGUGCACAGGCCUCUCAUUGUGGUGGCUUCUCUUAUUGUGGAGUGCAGGCUCUAGAUUGUGAGGGCUUCAGCAGCCGCGGCUCCCGGGCCCUGGAGCGCAGGCUCAGUAGUUGGGGUGCACAGGCUUAGUUGCUCAGAGGCAUGUGGGAUCUUCCCGGACCAGGGAUCAAACCCGUGCCUCCUGCAUUGACAGGUGGAUUCUUAACCACGGGACCACCAGAGAAGCCCUUCCACUUAUUUCUUUCAAAGUGUAAAUAUAAUAAUGUGGAAUGAGUUACAUAGUCUGAUCUGCAAAACAGCUAGGGAGUCUCUGUUUACUUAAUGCUCCCUCAUCCCUCCUCAUCCCAUGAUGGUCUGGGUUGAAUCUCCAUUGCCAUGAAACAUGAUGCUCUAAUCAUGAUUGCCCUCACUUUAUGGCACCAUCCAUAUGCGGCUUGCUUUCUUAAAACUUGUACAUGGACUGAUACACUAGAAAUAGUCUACUUUAAAAAAAUUCAAACAUCCCUAAAAGAAUAGAAGAUACUAUAACAGACUUGAGGUCCUUAUCACUCAGAUUGAACAGAUGUAUUUUUGCUAUAUUUCUUUCAGGUCUUUUAUUUUCAAGAGAUAAAAUAUUAGAUGUAGUUGAAGUCCUUUUUUUUUUUUUUUUGUAUCUCUUUUCAUCUAUUCCUUCCUUCCCGAGAAGUAGCCAUCAUUCUCAAGUCAGUGUGUAUCAGUUAUAUCCAUCUUUUAUGUUUUACUAUAUAUAUAUGUAUAUAUAUGUACACAGUUGCUCAGUUGUGUCCGACUCUGUGGCCCCGUGGACUGUAGCCUGCCAGGACCCUCUGUCAGUGGGAUUUUCUGGGCAAGAAUAGUGGAAUGGGUAGCCAUUCACUUCUCCAGGGUAUCUUUCUGACCCAGGGAUUGAACCCUGGUCUCCUGCAUUGCAGGUGAAGUCUUUACCCUCUGAGCCACCAGGGAAUCCCAUAUGUAUAUAUAUAUUAUCAUAAUUUCAUAAUACUGCUUUGUGGAUUUUGAAUGAACCAACUAGAUUUUUAACGAACUGACUGGAUAUGGAGGCUUCAGCAACAUGUUUUUUUUCCUUCAACAGUAUCAUCUUGUGCCCUGUCAUGGAGCUCUAGUUCAUUGAUCUCUUAUGUUAUAUCAGGUGCCUUGUGUGACUGCAGAGAACUGUGGCCACUUGCCUCUUAAUGGGCGUGUCUAAAUUUACAGUGUUUCAAGCAAAGCUGUCGUGAAAUUGCUGGCAGGCAAGAAUACUGGAGUGGGUGGCUGUUUCCUUCUCCAGUGGAUCUUCUUGGCCCAGGGACUGAACCCGCACGUCCUGCAUCAGUUCAGUUCAGUCGUUCAGCUGUGUCAGUUCAGUCAGUUCAGCUCUUUGCGACCCCAUGGACUGCAGCACACCUGGCCUCCCUGUCCAUCCCCAACUCCCCAAGCUUACUCAAACUCAUGUCCAUCCAGUCAGUGAUGCCAUCCAACCUCUGUCUCCUGCAUGGGUUUCCUGUAUUGCAGGUGGAUUCUUUACCCCUGAGCCACCAGGGAGGCCCUAUCAACUUACUAUGCUGCCAUUAAAAACAUAUAACAGCAUGAGAAAAUAUUAGUGAUAUCUCAAUGAAGGUAAAAUGAAAUGGUGUCUUAGAUACAGAAACUUAACAUGAAAGUAGAAUUGUAGCAAAAAAGAGACACAGCUUUACAAAGAUAGCAAAAAAUACAUGGAUGGGCCAGGAUUAAUAAUAUCAGUGAGAGCUCAUGGCUAUAAUAGAAAAUCAGUGUCUGGUAUAAUUCUGAGCACAGAAAGGGCAUUAGAUUGGCACCAAUUUGGAAGAAGGGCAACCAGCAUGGGGGUCAUCCAUAAAGAAGGACCAGGUAGGCAUUUGGCAAGCUUGUCUAGGACAGCAGCAGUGACCUGCUGGUGCUCGCGUUGGGGCCCUUACAUGACGGCCUAGAACACCCACUGUGGGGUCACAGUGCCCCAGAGACAGUCUCUCAUGUAAACCUGGGUAGACUCAGAAGACAGAACUAAGGAGAGUUUGGGCUUUGAAUAAAUAUGUCAGCCCAGGUCUUCUUGAGUGUUUGCUGGUGUUUCUCCCCACUUACUGGGCUGGCUUUUCUUCGGGUUAAAUAAAUCAGUGUUGGUAGAUUCAUUUUGUUUUGACCCCUAAGCCAAUUUGAACUGCUGCUAUGACUGAUUCCGAGACUAGGAGUUGCUUUUGUUUUAAAUUGAGUUGUAACAAUGGUGACUCAACAGCCCUAAAUAAGUGAGAUGGCCCCGACCAGGAGGAGAGCGUGGGACCCCGGCUGUUACUGGAUGAAAAAAGGUGCUUUAGAGCAGUCUAGUCUGGUCUGAUCUCGUCUUAAGAAAUCAGGAUAAAAGACCUGACUAUUCACUGGAAGGACUGAUGCUGAAGCUGAAGCUCCAGUAUUUUGGUCACUGAUGCAAAGAGCUGACUCAUUGGAAAAGACCCUGAGGCUGGGGAAGAUUGACAGCAAAAGGAGAAGGGGGCAGCAGAGGAUGAGAUGGUGAGAUAGCAUCACUGACUCUGUGGACAUGAAUUUGAGCACACUCUGGGAGAUAGUGGGGGAUAGGGGAGCCUGACGUGCUGCAGUCCACGGGGUCGCAAAGAGUCUGACAAGAGUGACUGAACAGCAAAGAUUGAUGUGCUAAGUACCAACCUCCCGGCAGCAACCUCCCGGCAGCAGUUGCCCCUGAGAAGUGUCAUGAUGGUAUUUCUAAUUUUCUUCUUUCUGCCAACUAUAAUUGCUAAUUAAAAAAAAAAAAAAACAGUCGUUAUGUGCUGAAUCACACAGUAGAAAUAUUACCAAUAACAACAAAGAGCAAGCAAAACAGAGGAGAAACAACCCCAGGGGUCAUCACAGCAACUUUCCCGUGUUUUCUGCAAACGUGAUUUAGAGAAAGCUCGUACGUCACGGGAUAGUAGACCUGGGGUCAUCACAGCAACUUUCCCGUGUUUUCUGCAAACGUGAUUUAGAGAAAGCUCGUACGUCACGGGAUAGUAGACCUGGUUUGUGAAGUCAUGGUCCCUGGGAGCUUUAUUAGGCUCUUCCAGGUCUUAGGAGACACCCAAGAGGGCUCAGCAAAACACAGCUAAUAACAGAAUUAAGAAGAUCAUAACAGUUUGGAUUAUUUAGCAUAAAAGAAAUUGGGGCUUAAAAAGCUUAAGUAAGUGAAGAGGUUUUCGAUGAAGCCACUGAUCACUUCUAAAUCAUUUGCACAGAGGGCAGAAGAAAUGGCCUGGAAUUGGUUGAGAGUUUGAAGAAGAGAUCCUUGCUAGGGAGGCUGUUGAGAGCCUGGCCUGGGCUGACCUGACUGUGGGCUCGCUCAGUCCUGGGAGAACUAAAUAUAGGAAACACCAUCCAUCCUCGAAAAUCUGGGGGAGACUUUCCAGAAGGUUCCUUGAAGUUCCAAUCCUAUGAUGUCUCCAUGAAAGUAUAAGCUUACCGAGUCCAUUCCUGAACAACCUGCCCUGGGACACUCAGUGUCUGUGCUCUUGGCCAGGACUGGUCUUGGGGGAGCUGCUGGCCAUCUGUGUGAUGCCAGUGCUGCCAGCAUGCCAGUCCCCUGCUGAGCCACGCUGUCGGAAACUCCACCAAGUGACAACCAUUGUUUGGUCAUCAAGAGCCCAAUGGAGUGUGAGUGAUGCACUUAGGAUUUUUUUUUUCCUUUUCUUAUAUUCGAGCAGGAAUAAAUGUGGAGAUUUUGAGAUGACUAGUUCAGACUUUCUUUUAGAGAUGGUCAAGAAAAAUUACCCAACACUCAGAAAUAAGGCAAGAGGGCAUGCCCUCCCCGUGUCAACUAGGGGCAUUGUUGGACAGGCUCACCCAGGGAUCACUUAAUUCUUGAGGGAAUUUAUCUGUGUCUUCUGUCACUGUUUACUAGUUGAGAAACCCAGACACAGUAGCGGGACAUGUUAACUUGUCAAUUUCUGUCCCUUAGAAACGAAAACCACAAAGGUUAUGGUUUUAUUCGCAUCUAGGGCAUUCACCAGUUUUGUAGAGUAGCUAUCAAAUGAUCCAGCCAUCCUUCUGACAUUCUGUUUUGUUUUGAAAGGUCAGGAAAUUCCACCAAUGACCUUUGCACCAUCUUUCCUAUCCUUCUGAUUGGCUCAUUUUCACAAGUUAAAUACAUCUUGGACACGUGUUCUUUUUACGUCUUUGUGGGAACCCAGGCUUUGCUCGUUGAAGAUGAAUACUUCGAGAGGAAAGAGACGAAGUCCCGCUAGGAGAACAACUUUAAGAGCAUAACGCUGUUUCUCUCUGAAUAGAGGUUUCUCUGGUCAUUCUCGGAAGGAGAAGGAUUUGUCAGUUCUUGUGUAAUUGAUGAUGAGCCAAUACUUGGUGAGCAAAAGAUGACUGGAUUUUUUCCAGCCUUAACUGAGGCUACCUGAGAGCGAGGUCUAUAGGACUGGGUGUGGGUGAAGUUGGUGCUGCUGGAAUCAAAAGGAGGGAAUUCCAAGUGACAGGACGAAUAGGAUCCUGGAGUGAGAACCCUGGUGGAUGCAGAGGCCAAACUGGAGAAUAAGAUUUCAGAGGCAGAAGGGUUCAAGGGAGGUUAAGGUCCUGAUGUGGGAGAAGGUGGCUGCCGCUCACUGGGGUGAGGGGUUAAGGCAGAGGGUGCCCAGGAGCCAAAGAAGCUACCAGUGACGGCUCCUCCCUGACGGUGACAGAGCCUGGCAGCGGCGACAGGAGCACCUGGGAUGCUGGAUGGGACCGGGCUGGAGGAGGGCCAGGCCUCGGCCAUGGCCAGAGAAUGACUUCCAUGGGGGGGCCAAGGAAAGGCCCCUUUAAACAGAGUGGGGCCGGCGUGGGGGCAGGGUCGCAGCAGAGCUCUGUAGGGGAGCCAUCGAGGGUCUAGGAGAGAACAGGUGAGCCGAGGAACCAACAACUCAGGCUGUGCCAACAGCCUCCAGGGUGAGGGCAGGAGGGAAGGAGGUCAGCCCUGAGAGGCUUAAGCAUCAUACAAAUUACGCAGGUGACCCAAGGGGCAGGGUGUCCGAGGAAGGUCCCUGUCUGCCCUGCCCUGAGGCACAGACACAGGCAAACCUAGGGCCCGCCUCGUGUGGCACUGACAUCUCCUUCUAGGCCUCUCUCAGGAAACAGCCAGCGGGCUUCCCUGGUGGCUCAGACAGUGAAGAGUCUUCCUGCAAUGCAGGAGACAUGGGCUCCAUCCCUGGGUCGGGAAGAUCCCUGGAGAAGGGAAUGGCCACCCACUCCAGUAUCAUGCCUGGAGGAGACAGAGGCGUGGCUCCUGGCCACCCUCUGCUCUCCCCCCUCACCCCAGUGGGCGGCAGCCACCUUCCCCCACAUUCACACGAGGACCUUAACCUCCCCUGGACCCCUCUGCCUCUGAAAUCCUAUUCUCCAGCUUGGCCUCUGCAGCCAUGGACAGAGGAGCCUGGCGGGCUAUAGUCCACGGGGUCACAAAAGAAUGGACGGGACUGAGCAGUUAACACAUUCAUUUUCACUUUCUAGGCCUCUAUUUUCUUGGGCUCCAAAAUCACUGCAGAUGGUGACUGCAGCCAUGAAGUUAAAAGACACUUGCUCCUUGGAAGAAAAGCAAUGGCCAACCUAGACAGCAUAUUAAAAAGCAGAGACAUUACUUUAUCAACAAAGGUCCAUCUAGUCAAAGCUAUGGUUUUUUCAGUGGUCACUUAUGGAUGUGAGAGUUGGACUGUAAAGAAAGCUGAGCACCGAAGAAUUGAUGCUUUUGAACUGUAAUGCUGGAGAAGACUUGAGAGUCGCUUGGACUGCAAGGAAAUCCAACCAGUCCAUUCAGAAAUCAGUUCUGAAUAUUCAUUGGAAGGACUGAUGUUGAAGCUGAAACUCCAAUACUUUGGCCACCUGAUGCGAAUAACUGACUCAUUUGAAAAGACUGUGAUGCUGGGAAAGAUUAAGGGUGGGAGGAGAAGGGGGCGACAGAGGAUGAGAUCGUUGGAUGGAUCACUGACUCAGUGGACAUGAGUUUGAGUAAAUUCUGGGAGUUGGUGAUGGGCAGGGAGGCCUGGUGUGCUGCAGUCCACGGGGUCGCAAAGAGUUGGACAUGACUGAGCAACUGAGCUGAACCAAGGCCUUUCUGAGUGGGAGUCUGAUGUGUGACGCAGGGAACCCAAAGGCGGUGCUCUGUGGCAGCCUGGAGGAAUGUUUGGGGAGGGAGGUGGGGGAGGGAUCAGGAGAGAGGACACGCAUUUAUGGCAAAAAUCAUCAUAAUUUUGUAGAGUAAUUAUCCUCCAACUGCAAUAAAUAAAUUUAAAAGUAAAGAAAAUUAUAAAAAGAAAGCAACCUCCUCCCUCUCUCAAGGAGACACUGACCCACCCUUUCAGGCCUUAGAAGGUAACACACAGCUCCUGAGGGCUUCGGACCUGCAGGCCUGGGUGUCACGCAGGAUUCAGUGACUCCACACACUCCUCCUCGGCCACAAUGGGGCUGCUCACCUGACCCCGGUCCAAGGCUCAGAUGCCCUGUCACACGGUGGGUCCCAACUGUGGAGUGUUUGGGGUCCGAGCCCCUCAUAGUCGUGUCUUGAAUAAAACAAAACGCCACGCUUCUGCACACCCGUUGUGGGGGCGCUCUUUCACCCCCAGGGGCAUCCCUCUUCACAGCUGCAAAUUCCAGUUUUAUCUCUGUUGUGUUUUGGAACCUGUUUGCUUUUGAUGAUGGUUCGGUUUUGAAAGGAAGAGGCACAGGCUCUCUAGCCCCCUAUUUUCUUUCUUGGAUGGAAUAAUACAGCUUCGUGAUAGUGACAUGUCUUUUUCCAUUACGGCAUCUUUAAUUUUAUUACUCUGCCACCUUGUGUUUUGAACUGCACAGAGGAAGGAACGCAUCAAAGAAUACUCCAUUGUGUCUUUUUUUUUUUUUUUCCCCUCCUGUAGUUGACUGUAGAAAAAAAGUGUAGCAUCCGAUUAGUCAUUCUGUACUGGGAUGGUUUUUUGCCUGUGACCAACGGAAUUACAUUUUACACUCAAAAGAAUUUUCUGUAUGAACCCUUUCAAUUCAAUGCAAGUGGAGAUAAGGUUCAAAGUAUGGCUGACCCCAUGCAUCACAUACAAAGUCCAUUUCUUCCUUGGUUGGUGAUAGUCUCCGAGGAUGCACAGUGUUUAGCGCUUGAAGGGUGUUUUUUGUUUUUUUUUUUUUGGCUAAGUCUGGACCUGCUAUUCCUUUUGCUUUUCUUUCUAGUGAAACCAGUUGAAGACAUCACUUAACUAGGCAUUUUGCUACCACCCUUUGGCUAGCAAAGGUAGCCACCUUGGCUCUCCAGCUUACUUCCUUGGUGUUUGCUUUCUUAGUCCUAGAAAAGGGAAUAAGAAAAACCUCUCUCCUGGGAACCAAGAAGCUUCCUUCAUUGCUCAAGCAGACUUGCAGAAGAUCUGGCUGUAUGUCACAGGAAGCCUUGUUAACAUGUUCUAAUCUUAGGUUUGAACCUGCAUUUCUUAACUGUUUUCUACCAUUUUCUUACCAUAUUUUCUACUGUGUUAGACUAAACAGGUACUUUAAUGAGCUGCUUCUGCCUCUGUCUUCAUUUCUGGGAGAGAAAAUGGAAUCACAGAGGACGGUGCUUGCCUUGCCUGGAAUCUGCACAAUUUAGGAGGAAGACUUUGAUUGAACUUUACUGUUUCUGCUUCAAUUUAUACAAAUAAAAGGGAAGCAGAUCCUUAUCAACUUGUGAUGCUCUCCAGGAAAGAGUUGGGGAUGCUGAAUAUCCCAUUUUUCUGUAAUUCAGCUGUGCCUUGGUUAAAGUGUCCUACUGACAUGGAGAAAUUGGAACCCUCAUACACUGAUGGUGGGAAUUUAAGCUGCUGCAGCUGCUUUGGAAAAGAGUCUGGCAGUUCCUCAAAAAUUAGCCAUAGUCCAUAGAAUUCUCCAGGCCACAGUACUGGAAUGGGUAGCCUUUCCCUUCUCCAGAGGAUCUUCCCAACCCAUGGGAUGAACCCAGGUCUCUCGCAUUGCCAGCAGAUUCUUUACCAGCUGAGCCACAAGGGAAGCCCAAGAAUACUGGAGUGGGUAGCCUAUCCCUUCUCCAGGGGAUCUUCCUGACCCAGGAAUCGAACAGGGUCUCCUGCAUUGCAGGUAGAUUCUUUACCAACUGAGCUAUGAGGGAAGCCCCAUAGCAUACCAUAUACAUACAUACAUAUAUACAUACCAUACAUACAUACAUAUAACUCAGCAACCCUAUCUGUAGGAAUCUACCCAAGAGAACUGAAAAACUUAUGUCCACACAGAAACUUGUACACAAAUGUUCAUAGCAGCAUUAGUCAUAAUAACCAAAAAGUAGAAACAACCCAAAUGUCCUUCAACUGAUGAAUGAAUAAAUAUCAUGUGAUACAUCCAUACAAUGGAAUAAAAUUUGGCAGUAAAAAAGAAUUUUAACAAGCUAUGUAAACCAAAAAUAAAUCCUCGGGGGCAAUUUUUACUUCAAAUCAAGGAACCUAUUUAUAUCUAAAUAAUAAUAAUGAUAGCGUUCAUUUGUU
ensembl:lncRNA